AUGCUUUCUCAAGCUGCUAGGCUUGAAUUGAUUCGUUUUGUUUUCUAUGCUAUUCCUGUUUAUUAUAUGACUAACAUUUUGUUCACUAAGAAGUUUAUUGCAAAACUUACUACUGUUAUUAGGAAUUUCUGGUGGACAGGUGUUAGGGAAAAGUAUUCCAGAAGAAGCCUUUGCCUUAGAGCAUGGAAAGACAUAUGCGAUUCUAAGAAAGAAGGUGGGCUGGGCAUAAGGAAUUUGCAUGUUAUUAAUGAGAGUCUCAUUAUUGCAACAGCUUGGAGAAUUGCUAAAUCACCUUCUUCUCAGCUGUACCUCAUUCUCAAAGCUAAAUACUUUCAUGACUCUUCUAUUUGGACAACAAUUUCUUCUCUGCCUAAAUCAGCUUUCUGGACUUCCGUUUUGAAAAUGCUUCCCAAGUUGAAAGAUCAUUAUUUUUAUCAAUUAACCCAAGGUAAUAUCUCUAUUUGGAGCACACCAUGGUGCAGUCUUUGGGCCUCUAUCCAUGAUCAUCUUAUUAUUCAAGAGCCUGGCUUCAUAUAUCCUUCUUUAGUUAGGGACCUUUGGCUUCCUGGUCAAAAAACUUGGAAUUCUGCUCUCGUUAAUUCUCUUUUUCAGCAUCCAUUGGCCUCUGUGAUUCUCCAAACGGUCAUUAUCUAUGAUGAUGGUCCAGAUCUUCUUUGUUGGGAUCUUUCUUCUAAUGGUAUUUGUUCUUCUAAAUCUGCUUAUAUGUUUUGUUUGCAAGAAAUUCAUGAAAAUCCCAUGAAUGCUCCUUCUUCAGUGUCUUUGGAGGUGAAGGAUUUUCUUAAAUUGAUCUAG
rnacentral:rRNA from 1 species